CACCUGCCAUCAUCAGAUUAAAUGAUCAGGUAAAAAUCAGGUAUAAAUCAGGUAAAGAUCAGGUGAUGAUCAGGUAUAAAUCAGGUAUAAAUCAGGUAAAGAUCAGAUGAUGAUCAUGUAUAAAUCAGGUAAAGAUCAGGUGAUGAUCAUGUAUAAAUCAGGUAAAGAUCAGAUGAUGAUCAUGUAUAAAUCAGGUAAAGAUCAGGUGAUGAUCAUGUAUAAAUUAAGUAAAGAUCAGGUGAUGGUCAUGUAUAAAUCAGGUAAAGAUCAGGUGAUGGUCAGGUAUAAAUCAGGUAUAAAUCAAGUAAAGAUCAGGUGAUGGUCAUGUAUAAAUCAGGUAAAGAUCAGGUGAUGGUCAUGUAUAAAUCAAGUAAAGAUCAGGUGAUGGUCAUGUAUAAAUCAGGUAAAGAUCAGGUGAUGGUCAUGUAUAAAUCAGGUAUAAAUCAGGUAAAGAUCAGGUGAUAGUCAGGUAUAAAUCAGGUAUAAAUCAGGUAAAGAUCAGGUGAUGGUCAGGUAUAAAUCAGGUAUAAAUCAAGUAAAGAUCAGGUGAUGGUCAUGUAUAAAUCAAGUAAAGAUCAGGUGAUGGUCAUGUAUAAAUCAGGUAAAGAUCAGGUGAUGGUCAUGUAUAAAUCAGGUAUAAAUCAGGUAAAGAUCAGGUGAUAGUCAGGUAUAAAUCAGGUAAAGAUCAGGUGAUGGUCAUGUAUAAAUCAGGUAUAAAUCAGGUAAAGAUCAGGUGAUAGUCAGGUAUAAAUCAGGUAAAGAUCAGGUGAUGGUCAUGUAUAAAUCAGGUAUAAAUCAGGUAAAGAUCAGGUGAUAGUCAGGUAUAAAUCAGGUAUAAAUCAGGUAAAGAUCAGGUGAUGGUCAGGUAUAAAGAGAAUCUCUUUGAGAGGGUCACUUAAUCCUUUUAGAAUCUCUCAAACAUUCCCAUCAUAAGAUCGACUGUAUAUUAAAGAGGGUUGUACCUUCAGU